UCAGUCUAUUUGAGGCAAGUAUUCCUUCUAGAAGUAUUUUAAAAUAAUUUUUGUAUUAGGUGGGGUAGUGUUUGUUUACCUUAGCAACGACCAUAAGCAGGUAAAUAUUUUUGUUUUUGUUUUUUUGUAAAUAAUACUUUUUAAUUAUUUUCUAAUGAAGUUAAAAUGCGAUAUGCUUAUAGAUAUAAAGGAAGUAGCUAAGGGAAUGUACUCUAUUACUUCACUGUCCCAGUCAACAAAAGCAUGUUUAUUUUCUGUUGGAUUUUGUGUAAUUUCUAGCAACAUUUUUUCGUUUUGGAUUGCUGCUGGUGAAAGACUCUUUUGUAUAUUUUGAUAUUUAGAUCUAUAUUCAUAUUGCAUUUUUAUUUGUGUAACAAUAAUGGCCAAUAAGCAUAAUAAAAGGCAAAGUUGUGGUAGAAAAAGAAAAUUUCGUGGGAAUAAAUACACCAACUUUCACCAAGUCUGCAAAGUCUACAAGUAGUACAAGUGAUGAUCAUGGACAAGUUGGUGAACAACAAGAGACACAUCAAGCUGCUUCACCUAAUGUAGAUAUUUCAUCUGAAUCAAGUUUAUCAGAUAAUCCACUGGAUUGUAAUAUCUUUUUAAACCUAGCAUGUUUUAAUAAUUUCUUGGCAAGUUACUUGAUAUGUCCUUUAGAAAUGCUUCAACUAUUCUCUAAAUUUGUUUUUGAAUGAAAGCGCAAGAAUUGGAUUUUGUCAGGAACUAAUUGUGAAAUGCACUUCAGCUGACUGCUCAUUUGAAGAAAGCUUUAGAUCUUCUAAAGAAAAUAGAGAUGGUCAAAAAAGAGGAUUUAGGGAAAUAAAUUUCAGAAUGGUAUCAUUUGUAAGAUCCAUAGGUCCAGGUCACAGUGCGCUCUUGAAUUUUUGUCAACACACAAACAGUCCACCUCCUAUUUCUGAAACAUCUUAUCAAUCUGUAAUGCAUACCAUAGGCCUUGCAUCUAAGAAAGUGGCAGAAGAAAGUAUGGAAAAGGCUGCAAGGGAAGUGAAAGAAAAGGUUGGAAUCAGCAACGAAGAAGGCAUCACUGACUGCGGUGUGAGCGUUGAUGGGACAUGGCAGCGUCGAGGGCACUCGAGCCAUCAUGGCGUUGUUACAGCCAUAUCAAUAGAAACAGCCUCUCAGCACGUCACGACGGAGAAAACAAUCUCUGCAACGCUUCAGAGAGAUACAUUAAGGGUUCUCCUGAUGCGGAAAAAAAGCCUGGGACAGAGUAUAAUCCAUGGCUGUUCUCUCCCUGCAGUGUCAGUUACUUUACCAGCUUUUUGAAGAAAAAAUUGAGCUCCAGGCUUCCGAAUCUAGACGCUCUAUCAUUGAAAUCUGCCAAGCAAUGUUAUGUGCAGAUGUUUUAAGAGGGUUAUGUAUCCCGCAUAUAGCACUCACUGGAACAUCUUGUGGCAAUGGAAAGGUCUGCAUAAAUGGACAAUGUGUCAGCGACCCAUACGCUCCUCAAAUUGAUGAAAACUGUGCAUUUGGAGACAGACCGAGCUAUUCUUGCAGUUUGUAUAUCAAUGACUUUAUGGGCAACUGUUACUCUACUCUUAACUAUCGAGCAUGUUGUGACACGUGUAACAAAGUGUCUAGGCCCGUGAAAGGCUGUGAAUACGGAGAUAGAAUCAUCGAUUGUACAAAAGAUCACUGCUUGAAUUCACAAGUGGAUUGCUGCGGCACGUGUAACUAUGGCACCCCCUUUACCCCAAUGUAUAGCACCAGAAGAAGCACACCUGAAAGAUUAGCCACGACAGUAAAUCCCCUUGUGCUAUUCACUUCAAUUAAAGAUUGUGUGAACAAGACUUGAGACCAGAACUGUGCACUAACUUUAGCGUCUGCCUAAUACAGCCAACACAGUGCUGUCACUACUGCUCGUCAUAUUACACGUCUGCAACUACAAGUACCACGACAACGAGACCAUUGAUAACAUCCACUUCACCCAAAACUAAAUGUGAACCAGGAGAUCUAGACUUGAGGCCAGAACUGUGCACUAACACUAGUGUCUGCCAGACAAAGUCAUCACUAUGCUGUCACUAUUGCUCGUUACAUUACAAGUCUGCAAAUACAAGUACCACACAAUUAACGCCCCCCAACGAGUGUGUACUAGGAGAACCAGAUUUAAGUCCACAGCUGUGUACUAGCCGUAGUAUCUGCCAGACACAGCCAUUGAUGUGCUGUAAAUAUUGUUCUUCCCAAGACAAUUCUGCAAGCCAUCUCUCUUUAUACACUAUUGGGAUAUAUUGUUUUUGUAUUGUGUUCUUUCUUUAUAUUAAAACAAAUGUCUAUUAAGUAGAUAAAGUAUAAAUGUCUAUUAGGUAGCUAAAGUACAAGACUCUUAGGUAGAUAAAGUACUUACCCUUGUUCGGAAUUUUUUUAAAGUUUUUGUCUAUUUCUUAUCUUUAUACCAUUUUAAGCAUUGUUUACACAAGGAAAUCAAUUAUAAUGAAGCAAUCUAUCAAUCAUAAUGAAGCAAUCGUUGGUGUACUGUGCAUGAAAUAAUAGACCUCUAAAACAUGUAACCAAGGCCGGCCUUAGAUAAUGAGCCUGCUUGUCCUUAAAAGUCAUUAUGAGGAACAUUU